rnacentral:lncRNA from 1 species
AGCACUUAAGAAUUUUCUCAUCUUUUGUAUGAUUAGUCGUAAACGAGCACAAAAUUUCCUAGAAAUAAACCUGAGUUCUGCCCCCACACCAAGACAAACAGCAUCACCCCAGCAAAUGUUCAGACAUGUAUGGAUGGUGGUUAGCAUUGCUCUUAGUGCAGAACUGCUGAACAAGCAGAGUUGAGGUUCAGCAUGGCAGAGCAGUGGGAAAGUUGUAAAUUGGGGUACGUUUAUGUCUCAGCUUAUUUUCUUCUAGCUCACCACAGGAAUUAACUGCAAAGGGCAAAAAGUCACAUAUUCUGACCCCUAAAAUAUCUGUCCAUGUGAGUUCAGCUCUUUGUCCUUGAGGAUCUCUGGCUCUGGCUUAAUGGAGCUGCAGCCCAAGAAGGAGACAGAUGGUACUGAUGGGCUGAAAUUAUACUCAGCUAAGUGCAGAGCUAUAACUGCUAUUUGUCAUUCUAACAUCACUGAUUUGUCUAGAGAGAAAAGCAAAUAACUUGUUGGGGGAGUAAGCAACCGACUGGCUGUGGCCAGGCCAGAUUGGAAGUGGGUGGAAGGCUCAGCACACCGAGACCCAGGUGCCAUCCGCGCUCAAGGGAGGCUAUUAGGAUGUCAUUUCACUUUCUUUCUCUGUCUGUCUUUCUCUCUGCUAGCUGUGGAGGUGGAAGGUGCGUGUGUUGUGAGGUGAACUGGGGAGUGAAGAUAAAAAUCUGUGGUAAGGAAAUGCUACAGCUUUAUCUCUCUUCUUUGAUGUGGCAGGACAAAUUAAUUGAUAACAGAACCAGCCAAAGCAGAUGUGGUCAUGGCCUCCUGAACUGCCCGAUUGCAAGGAAAGGGCCCAGCAACAUCAAAGACAAAGCGUGCUUUUUGCCUUUGCUCUGUAAAGAGCGUGAAGAUAUUUAGGAUCACUGAGCACAGAAUAUUAGGAAAGUGCAAGUACCACUCUGAACAUGGAAAGGAGCAUAAACAAUUAUUUUGCAGAAGCAUGAACAUCUGAGCCCUGUUUGAUCACCAAAUGUAAUUACAGUUAAGUGAAUAUCAUAUUGACUUCUACGGCAAUACCAAGCCUGAAAGAUUUUAAGUUAUCUAAAGUCCUUGGCCCAAAUUGGGUUAAUUGGUCCUUUGGGAGGGCAGGGGGGAAAUCUCAGGAAAAAAGUACUUUAGUAAGUAGCCCAUAACUAUCCCAUCUACAGAGAAUACCGCUCUGCAGACGGUAUCUGACAGACUUUUCUAAGGCACUGAAAUAUUCUGUUGAAUCUAAUAUCCAAAUUUUAGUCAUUCACACUUCAAUAUUAUCUAGACAAGCCCUUUUUUUCCUAUAGUGGCUGCAGACAUACCCUCAAAGAGAAGUGUUUAUGUAUCAAAUAUCAGCUUUCAAAGUUCUCCAGUAUAUUAAUUGCCUGUGUGAUGAAGAAAAUCAUGGCAAAAAAGUUCUUUAAAAAUCAGGGAAAUGUGCUUAUUUCACUUUUGCAGAACUUAGAAACGGCUAGAAUAUCCUAUUUUACAUGCAUAAUCAUGUCAUGAAUACACAGUUAAGGAUAUAAAGCAAGCAUGGACAGCUUGUGUGCAAGAGAGAGCUUUCCAGAAAUGAAUGACUGAACUAAAUGGAACCUGUCUGCAGGUUCAGCUGCGGUCAGUCCUACCAACUUCUUAUCAUCUAGGUGAUGGAACCUCAGCAUUUCCUAACUUGUACAUCUUUCCUGCUUCCUAGCGUGCCUUCUCCCUUCCAGCAUGUCCAGUGUAUAGGACAGAUCACCCAGACCUGAACCUUCAUCUCAAGCUACAUUCAAACUUUGAAAAGAACUGAAUCGCCAGCUUCGCUGAUUAAGCAAAUCAUAAAUCACCAAGUAUAUGCCUGACUUGGAGCUGGUGAGCAGUAAUCAGUUGUUUCAGUUCAGGAUAUGCCUUCAUGUUUUGCUGGAUUAGAGGCAGUAUUCUUAGGAUUGAGCCACCUCUAUGAUUUUGCUGCUUUCAGAGCAAGGGAGGUAAUAGUGACGUAGCACGAAAAGCAUCCUGUAGAUCAUUUAGGAGUUUGUAAUAGCCACAGAGACUCCAGUGCAAAUAAACUAUCUGAUGAUACUGAUUUGGUUUCUGCU